rnacentral:rRNA from 1 species
GACGGAGGAUGCAAGCGUUAUCCGGAAUGAUUGGGCGUAAAGCGUCCGCAGGUGGCCGUUCAAGUCUGCUGUCAAAGACCGGGGCUUAACUUCGGAAAGGCAGUGGAAACUGAACAGCUAGAGUAUGGUAGGGGCAGAGGGAAUUCCUGGUGUAGCGGUGAAAUGCGUAGAGAUCGGGAAGAACAUCGGUGGCGAAAGCGCUCUACUGGACCGCAACUGACACUCAGGGACGAAAGCUAGGGGAGCGAAUGGG